ensembl:lncRNA
UGGUGAAUUACUUGAGGUUCAGCUACCAACCUGGGGGUGUCUAGGUUGUUUUCCCUUUUGUGAUUAAGCGACAAGGUUUAUUCCUCUGAACAAAACCAAACAACCCAUGCUGAGUAGGACUGGAGCUUCCGUUCAAACAGCAGUGCACCAGCUGCCCAAAGGAAGAUCACCGAACCUCAGUGGGAUUUUCCCUGCAGCUGCAUCUUCUGACUCCUUGUCAUUCUUAUUCCAGGGAACAAGUAGAAUCACUAGAUUACCCAAGAAGAAGAUGACUCUUUCAUUGGUGGCUGUGAAUGUUGGUCUUGCCUUUGGAGUAUGUUGUAUUCAAAGCAAAUUAAUGUUGAAUUACAAAAAAGCUUUACAAUAA